rnacentral:rRNA from 1 species
UCGAACGAUGAAGCACCAGCUUGCUGGUGUGGAUUAGUGGCGAACGGGUGAGUAACACGUGAGCAACCUGCCCCGGACUUUGGGAUAAGCGCUGGAAACGGCGUCUAAUACCGAAUAUGCACCAUGAAGGCAUCUUCAAUGGUGGGAAAGAUUUAUCGGUCCGGGAGGGGCUCGCGGCCUAUCAGCUUGUUGGUGAGGUAAUGGCUCACCAAGGCGUCGACGGGUAGCCGGCCUGAGAGGGUGACCGGCCACACUGGGACUGAGACACGGCCCAGACUCCUACGGGAGGCAGCAGUGGGGAAUAUUGCACAAUGGGCGCAAGCCUGAUGCAGCAACGCCGCGUGGGGGAUGACGGCCUUCGGGUUGUAAACCCCUUUUAGUAGGGAAGAAGCCUUCGGGUGACGGUACCUGCAGAAAAAGCGCCGGCUAACUACGUGCCAGCAGCCGCGGUAAUACGUAGGGCGCAAGCGUUAUCCGGAAUUAUUGGGCGUAAAGAGCUCGUAGGCGGCUUGUCGCGUCUGCUGUGAAAACUGGAGGCUCAACUUCCAGCGUGCAGUGGGUACGGGCAGGCUAGAGUGCGGUAGGGGAGAUUGGAAUUCCUGGUGUAGCGGUGGAAUGCGCAGAUAUCAGGAGGAACACCGAUGGCGAAGGCAGAUCUCUGGGCCGUAACUGACGCUGAGGAGCGAAAGAGUGGGGAGCGAACAGGCUUAGAUACCCUGGUAGUCCACUCCGUAAACGUUGGGAACUAGUUGUGGGGGCCUUUCCACGGUCUCCGU